rnacentral:rRNA from 1 species
UGAUAUUUCGAGAUCACAUGGUUCUCGAAAUCAAAGGAGCAAUCCGCUGAACGAUGGACUCGCGUCCGAUUAGCUAGCUUGGUGAGAUAACAGCCCACCAAGGUGACGAUCGGUAGCCGGGUUGAGAGACUGAACGGCCACAUUGGGACUGAGACACGGCCCAGACUCCUACGGGAGGCAGCAGUGGGGGAUAUUGCACAAUGGAGGAAACUCUGAUGCAGCAACGCCGCGUGAGGGAAGACGGUUUUCGGAUUGUAAACCUCUGUCCUUAGGGAAGAUUAUGACGGUACCUAAGGAGGAAGCUCCGGCUAACUACGUGCCAGCAGCCGCGGUAAUACGUAGGGAGCAAGCGUUGUCCGGAUUUACUGGGUGUAAAGGGUGCGUAGGCGGCUUAGCAAGUCAGGCGUGAAAACUAUGGGCUUAACCCAUAGACUGCGUUUGAAACUGUUGAGCUUGAGUGAAGUAGAGGUAGGCGGAAUUCCCGGUGUAGCGGUGAAAUGCGUAGAGAUCGGGAGGAACACCAGUGGCGAAGGCGGCCUACUGGGCUUUAACUGACGCUGAGGCACGAAAGCAUGGGUAGCAAACAGGAUUAGAUACCCUGGUAGUCCAUGCCGUAAACGAUGAUUACUAGGUGUGGGGGGUCUGACCCCUUCCGUGCCGGAGUUAACACAAUAAGUAAUCCACCUGGGGAGUACGACCGCAAGGUUGAAACUCAAAGGAAUUGACGGGGGCCCGCACAAGCAGUGGUUGUAUGUGGUUUAAUUCGAAGCAACGCGAAGAACCUUACCAGGGUCUUGACAUCCUAGGAACGGCUAAGAGAUUAGCUGGUGCCUUUCGGGGAAUCUAGAGACAGGUGGUGCAUGGUUGUCGUCAGCUCGUGUCGUGAGAUGUUGGGUUAAGUCCCGCAACGAGCGCAACCCUUGUGAUUAGUUGCUACGCAAGAGCACUCUAAUCAGACUGCCGUUGACAAUACGGAGGAAGGUGGGGACGACGUCAAAAUCAUCAUGCCCUUUAUGACCUGGGCUACACACGUACUACAAUGGUCGCUAACAGAGGGAAGCAAUACCGCGAGGUGGAGCAAAACCCCAAAAGCGAUCUCAGUUCGGAUUGUAGCGCUGCAACCCGCCUACAUGAAGUUGGAAUGGCUAGUAGUAGCGGAUCAGAGGGCCGCGGUGAAUACGUUCCCGGG